rnacentral:lncRNA from 1 species
UUACUAACAGUACAACUUCUUUCCUACAGAGCUAAUUCUCUAUAGAAUUCAGAUUUUAUUUUAUUUAUUUUAUUUUUCUCUAUGAUUUUUUUCCCUUCUAAAAGCCAUUAAUAGUGAAACCUCUCAUUGGUUGCUUUUGGAUUUUGAGGUUCUAGGAGAAUCUUGGGAGUGAAAUGCGAGCGUGAAUGAAGGGUCAAUAUCCAAUGUGUAAUUCCCAGUAAGUUAUUCUCUUAUGCAUUCCCUUUCCUUUGUCCCCUAGUGUUAGGAUCAUUUUAUAGGGGGAAUUUGUUGAGACUAUGUACUGGCUACUUACUAUAGGAUGCAAACUGUUUGAUGUAAUAGCAUCACUAAAGAAUGUGAAGUUGGAAGGAAUUUGAUGG